CUUACAGCUUCAAAGUCAGCUAUUAAAAAAAAGUUGAAGCUUAAACGGAGCCGAAUUGAGUAUUGGAAAACGGCCAAAUCAGUAAACAUGGCGACCUUCAGCGAUGCAGACGAUAUGUGCAUCAACGCCGACGAAAUUCAGAUGUUUAAUGCAUGUAGAAUCGGUCAAAUUCUAAAGAGUAAAAUCCCUUACGAAUGUCUGAUGGAGAAAGUUCACUUCAUGUGCAAAAAUAAGGGCUUGAUUUAUGCGGCAGAGAUCGCGAAAUCACCGAAAAAACGAGCGCGAUGGGCAACACGCGAUCUGCACAGACAAUGCCUGUCAUUGCCUGUGUGGCGAAGCAUAUGAAUUAGGCUACGUCACGUGUUCUACAGGUGUAGGCCUACAGGUACAGAGGUUUUCACGAGACAUGCUUGAGUAAUAAGUAGUACAUGUAGUACUGGCGUUUUAAACGCCCAAAUGCUGCUAGAAAACGAAAGUUACACGAAGAUUCUCCCUCUGAAACUCCAUCUUCUCCUAACUCAGACUUAAACUCUGGCACGUCUGGGCUGUGAAUCAAGAUUUUCUUCUAGCAUGUCUGGAAGAUCUCCAACAUUGUUCAAGACUCUGGCAAAAUAUGCAAAAAGUGGCAUGCAUGGUGCAUUGCCUUAAUUUGAAUGCAUCAUUGAGUAAAGUUGAGCUGUUUGUCACUCGACAUGGGAAACGUGUCAAGGAUUAGCUGUUGCAGACAGAAAUUUCUGAUAGAGGAGUGAACUUCAGAUGGAGCACCAAGAGGCCUACGAGAUGUUCAACAGAGAUAGUGAUUGAUGGCCUCACUCAUGAGUAUGGCAAAGAUUGCACAACUGUUUGUGACAGCGAUCAAGAAGCACAACAGAACUUACCUUCAAUCGCAUCGAUGUUCAUCAAUCAGCACA